GGCCUAACACAUGCAAGUCGAGCGCACCCUUCGGGGCGAGCGGCGGACGGGUUAGUAACGCGUGGGAACGUGCCCAGAUCUACGGAAUAGCCACUGGAAACGGUGAGUAAUACCGUAUACGCCCUUCGGGGGAAAGAUUUAUCGGAUUUGGAUCGGCCCGCGUUAGAUUAGGUAGUUGGUGGGGUAAUGGCCUACCAAGCCUACGAUCUAUAGCUGGUUUUAGAGGAUGAUCAGCAACACUGGGACUGAGACACGGCCCAGACUCCUACGGGAGGCAGCAGUGGGGAAUCUUAGACAAUGGGGGAAACCCUGAUCUAGCCAUGCCGCGUGAGUGACGAAGGCCCUAGGGUCGUAAAGCUCUUUCGCCAGGGAUGAUAAUGACAGUACCUGGUAAAGAAACCCCGGCUAACUCCGUGCCAGCAGCCGCGGUAAUACGGAGGGGGUUAGCGUUGUUCGGAAUUACUGGGCGUAAAGCGCGCGUAGGCGGAUUGGAAAGUUGGGGGUGAAAUCCCAGGGCUCAACCCUGGAACUGCCUCCAAAACUAUCAGUCUAGAGUUCGAGAGAGGUGAGUGGAACUCCGAGUGUAGAGGUGAAAUUCG
rnacentral:rRNA from 1 species